GAUGAAGAACGCAGCGAAAUGCGAUAAGUAAUGUGAAUUGCAGAAUUCAGUGAAUCAUCGAAUCUUUGAACGCACAUUGCGCCCGCUGGUAUUCCGGCGGGCAUGCCUGUUCGAGCGUCAUUUCAACCCUCAAACCCCCGGGUUUGGUGUUGGGGAUCGGCUCUGCCUCACGGCGGUGCCGCCCCCGAAAUACAUUGGCGGUCUCGCUGCAGCCUCCAUUGCGUAGUAGCUAACACCUCGCAACUGGAACGCGGCGCGGCCAUGCCGUAAAACCCCAACUUCUGAAUGUUGACCUCGGAUCAGGUAGGAAUACCCGCUGAACUUAAGCAUAUCAAUAAGCGGAGGA
rnacentral:misc_RNA from 1 species